rnacentral:rRNA from 1 species
UGGGGAAUUUUGCACAAUGGGGGAAACCCUGAUGCAGCGACGCCGCGUGAUUUAGAAGGCCUUCGGGUUGUAAAAAUCUUUUCUAUGGGAAGAAAAUGACAGUACCAUAGGAAUAAGGACCGGCUAAUUACGUGCCAGCAGCCGCGGUAAUACGUAAGGUCCGAGCGUUGUCCGGAAUCAUUGGGCGUAAAGGGUACGUAGGCGGGUAAGCAAGUUAGAAGUGAAAUCCUAUAGCUCAACUAUAGUAAGCUUUUAAAACUGCUCAUCUUGAGGUAUGGAAGGGAAAGUGGAAUUCCUAGUGUAGCGGUGAGAUGAGCACAUAUUAGGAGGAAUACCGGUGGCGAAGGCGAGUUGCUGGCCAUAACCUGACGCUGAGGUACGAAAGCGUGGGUAGCAAACAGG